GACGUCAAGAGGGGAAGUCAGUUGUGCAAAUGAAAACACCAGCUCACCCCGUCAGGGUCACCCAGUCAGCCCUAACUAUAAGCUUUGUCGAAAAGGAAGGUUUUAAGCCUGGUCUUAAAAAUAGAGAGGGUGUCCGCCUCCCAAACCCAAACUGGGAGCUGGUUCCACAGGAGAGGAGCUGAUAACUGAAGGCUCUGCCUCCCAUUCUACUUUUAGAGAUUCUAGGAACAACAAGUAAGCCUGCAGUCUGAGAGCGAAGAGUUCUGCUAGGGUAAUAUGGUACUAUCAGGUCUUUAAGAUAUGACGGAGACUGGUUGUUAAGAGCUUUAUAUGUCAGAAGAAGGAUUUUGAAUUCUAUUCUAGAUUUAACAGGGAGCCAAUGAAGAGAAACCAAUAUAGGAGAAAUAUGAUCUCUCUUGCUAACUCCCGUCAGUACUCUGGCUGCAGCGUUUUGGAUCAGCUGUAGAUGUUUCAGAGAGCUAUUGGGACAACCUGAUAAUAAGGAAUUACAGUAGUCAAGCCUAGAAGUAACAAAUGCAUGGACUAGUUUUUCUGCAUCACUCUGAGACAGGAUGUUCCUGAUUUUCACAAUAUUUCUCAGGUGGAAAAAGGAAGUCCUACAGAUUUUUAUGUGUUUUUGAUCUGAACCUUGGUAGCACAGAGCAGAAGGUUGGUAGAGGGUUGGCAGAGGGUUGGCAGAGGGUUGGCAGAAGGUUGGUAGAGGGUUGGUAGAGGGUUGGCAGAGGGUUGGCAGAAGGUUGGUAGAAGCUUGGUAGAGGGUUGGUAGAGGGUUGGCAGAGGGUUGGCAGAGGGUUGGUAGAAGGUUGGUAGAAGCUUGGUAGAGGGUUGGCAGAGGGUUGGCAGAGGGUUGGCAGAGGGUUGGUAGAAGGUUGGUAGAGGGUUGGUAGAAGGUUGGUAGAGGGUUGGCAGAGGGUUGGCAGAAGAUUGGCAGAGGGUUGGCAGAGGGUUGGCAGAGGGUUGACAGAAGGUUGGUAGAGGGUUGGUAGAAGGUUGGGGUUGAAAACAGCAACCCUGGUGAUUCCAGCCAGGUGAUGGUGGAGCUCCUCAAGACACCAGGAUGGAAGCUGAUGGUGGAUCUAUAUACCAUUAUUGCAUUACAUUCACUCUGUUUCUUUCUGUGUCCUUUCUCCGAGUGUCCCUGGUCCCAGAGCUGGAUGCUGGA
ensembl:lncRNA